UACAUGUGGGGCAAGCGUUGUUCGGAAUUACUGGGCAUAAAGGGUGCGUAGGCGGCUUGUUAAGUCAGGGGUGAAAGUUUUCGGCCCAACCGGAAAAUUGCCUUUGAUACUGGCGAGCUGGAGUGCGUGAGGGGUGACCGGAACGAGUGGUGUAGCGGUGAAAUGCGUAGAUAUCACUCGGAAGGCCAACGGCGAAGGCAGGUCACUGGUGCGCAACUGACGCUGAGGCACGAAGGCGUGGGGAGCAAACAGG
rnacentral:rRNA from 1 species